CAUAAACGAGAAUGCGUAGGUCCCUCCUUCGAACGAGGGUGAAAAGGGAAUGCGGUGAUCCCGAAGGGGCUUCGGCCCGGCGGGCUACUCCGCAGCUGCCCCCGCAACUGUAAGCGGCGAGCUGUGCCGCCGAACGCCACUGGUCCCUCGGGAUCGGGAAGGCGGCGGCCUCGGCGACGACCCGCGAGCCAGGAGACCUGCCGACGCAUCCGAUCCAGC
rnacentral:ncRNA from 1 species